UGCCUCUUGUUACAUUAUAAAAGGUACAUCCUGCCCAGUGACUGAAGUUAAACGGCCGCGGUAUCCUGACCGUGCUAAGGUAGCAUAAUCAUUUGCCUCUUAAUUAGUGGCUAGUAUGAAUGGACAAACGAAAAUUCCCCUGUCUCUAUAAAGCCAAUGAAAAUUAAUCCUCAGGUGAAGAAGCCUGAAUCUCGUUAAAAGACAAAAAGACCCUGUUGAGCUUAAUUCUAAUAUAAGAUAACUAAAAUAAAAAUAAAAUUUUUCCUUCUACACGAAUUUUGCUGGGGCAGCAAAGGAACAACCAAAAAUUCCUUCUCCAAAAGACCUAUUAGUCUACUCUAUGAUCCAUAUUUAUGAUUAACAGAACUAGCUACCACAGGGAUAACAGGCUAAUUUUUCUCUAGAGCUCAAAUUGACAGAAAAGAUUGGCACCUCGAUGUUGGCUUAGGAUAUCCUAAAAGCGCAGAAGCUUUUAAGGGUGGGUUUGUUCAACCUUUAAAAUCCU
rnacentral:rRNA from 1 species